rnacentral:rRNA from 1 species
AAUAUUGGACAAUGGGGGCAACCCUGAUCCAGCAAUGCCGCGUGAGUGAUGAAGGCCUUAGGGUUGUAAAGCUCUUUCGCACGCGACGAUGAUGACGGUAGCGUGAGAAGAAGCCCCGGCUAACUUCGUGCCAGCAGCCGCGGUAAUACGAAGGGGGCGAGCGUUGUUCGGAAUUACUGGGCGUAAAGGGCGCGUAGGCGGCCCGAUCAGUCAGAUGUGAAAGCCCCGGGCUCAACCUGGGAACUGCAUUUGAUACUGUCGGGCUUGAGUUCCGGAGAGGAUGGUGGAAUUCCCAGUGUAGAGGUGAAAUUCGUAGAUAUUGGGAAGAACACCGGUGGCGAAGGCGGCCAUCUGGACGGACACUGACGCUGAGGCGCGAAAGCGUGGGGAGCAAACAGG